AUUCUGUUGAUCCUGACGGACCCGGCUGCUGUCGGGGGGGCACUACGCCAUGGGAGUCGAACACCCCACCGCUGUGGGGUGUGGCGAAUGGCUGACUACCAUGUGGCUAACCUACCCUCGGGACGGAGACAUCUCCUGGAAACUGGAGCUGAUCCCCGAUAUGCUUGAGUCCUGGAAGGGUUCUCUGUCUUCCUGAAUAGAAGGGGGUUAACGCCUUCUAUCCGCCCGAGGAUGGGGCUGCGUCCCAUCAGGUUGUUGGCGGGGUAACGGCCCGCCAAGCCUAUAACGGGUAGGGGCCGUGAGAGCGGGAGCCCCCAGAUGGGCACUGAGACAAGGGCCCAGGCCCUACGGGGCGCACCAGGCGGGAAACCUCCGCAAUGCGGUAACCCGUGACGGGGUCACCCCGAGUGCUCCCCUCAUGGGGAGCUUUUCCCCGCUGCAGGAAGGCGGGGGUAAUAAGUGGGGGGCAAGACUGGUGUCAGCCGCCGCGGUAACACCAGCUCCGCGAGUGGUCGGGACGGUUAUUGGGCCUAAAGCGCCCGUAGCCGGCCCAGCAAGUUCCUGCCUAAAUCACCGGGCUCAACCCGGUGACUGGUGGGAAUACUGCUGGGCUAGGAGGCGGGAGAGGCCGGGGGUACUCCUAGGGUAGGGGCGAAAUCCUAUAAUCCUAGGAGGACCACCAGUGGCGAAGGCGUCCGGCUGGAACGCGCUCGACGGUGAGGGGCGAAAGCUGGGGGAGCAAACCGGAUUAGAUACCCGGGUAGUCCCAGCUGUAAACGAUGCGGACUAGGUGUUGGACGGACCUAGGGUCCGUCCAGUGCCGCAGGGAAGCCGUUAAGUCCGCCGCCUGGGGAGUACGGCCGCAAGGCUGAAACUUAAAGGAAUUGGCGGGGGAGCACCACAAGGGGUGGAGCCUGCGGCUUAAUUGGAGUCAACGCCGGGAACUUUACCGGGGGCGACAGCAGGAUGACGGCCAGGCUAAUGACCUUGCCCGACGCGCUGAGAGGAGGUGCACGGCCGUCGCCAG
rnacentral:rRNA from 1 species